AAGAUCAUAUUUUCAGGGAUCAUUUCUAUAGUCUUUGCCUUGAGAAAUAUCGUACGAAAGUGAUCCGUUACUCUAACCACGAUGAAGAGAACUGGUGUUCCCUUCUGAGCGC
rnacentral:snoRNA from 10 species